GAUUAUGCUUCCGGCGCCCCCUUUUCAUUUACGAGUUCCCUUCCAGCAUCUAAUCUGGCCAACGUGCUCUCUUGUUUCUUUUUCAGACUUGAUUGAGAGGUUCCAAAGCAUGAGAAAUGUCAUCUUCUUACUGAUUUGUUAGGAACUUGAUGGUAUGAAGGUGAGAUUUUGGUUGCUCACACCUUGUCUUGCGAUAUGAAGGCUUAUGGAAGAUUUGAAUUGUUUGACCAGAGAGACUUUGGAUGAGACAGAGAACAAGCUAGUUGUUGAGUUCUUCAUCCUCGUGGGGUUUUGCUCUUCGUUUUGGCAGCCAAGCACCAAACCCCUUUGACCUAUUUUGUCAUCGUUGCAACAACGGUACUCACGGCAUGGGUGCUAGCAAGGAAGGGCUUGCAUCAGCUUUUUGGGUUUUCUUCUUUUCGAUUUCUUUCUUUUGCAAGCCGCUGGAAGAGUGCUAAAGGAUUGCAAAAAGAAAUCCCUGGUGUAUACGUCUCAGACACAGGUAGGGGAAAGGCAAGUGCCGGAAGCUUUGAUGUUUUUGCUGCUGGAACCUCCAAAUCCUCCAGCCUUCUAACUCGGAUAUUUGAGCUUCUGCUUUAAUCCUUUGGGAUUCAUCGCUUGUCAAGACCUGCCAUGGCAUCCACCAACCCGUCGUCAAUUAUUAGUGACCACCUUUAUUCACUGGAUGAUAAAUUGAAGAGGGGAAGACCCCCUCCAUUGCUCAAGAAUGCUUGUGAACAUGCUGCAGUAAGCGAAGAGCCAGUGCCGGAAACUGCUUCAGUGAUUGAUCCUGCGUCUAUAUCGAGGUGCUGCAUAAAGACGGGUUUGUUUCCGGCAGCCCCCCAUGUUCUUGGGAUAUCCGAUGCAGGUGUAGACAAUGCCCUACUCCUUCCAGCAGUGCUGCCUCCUACUCCUCCUCUUCUCGGAACAUCCGACAUAGCUGCCGGCAUGCCUUGCACCUUCCAGCAGUGCUGCCUCCUACUCCUCUUCUUCUCGGAACAUUCGACAUAACUGCUGGCACUGCCCUGCACCUUCCGGCAGUGCUGCCUCCUUUUAUUUCACAGGUUGUUUUCUUUGGCUUGGGGUCAGUUGGCUCAGUGCACAGCUUCCAUCUUUCUUGAUACCAUAGGAUGUACAAAUCUUCAACAUGUGUAACUUUGUUUUUGCAAUGGCCGUGUACUUUUUAGAUAGUCUAACGACUGUAAUAUACUACUGAAUCGCUGGAACUUGCAUUAAUUUCUGAAUGCUUGAGGCAUGUUGUAAUCCGUACAUCUCAUAUAUAUAUAUUGCUUGGUUGGGAGAA